GACGAACGCUGGCGGCGUGCCUAAUACAUGCAAGUCGAGCGAAGUUUUUCUGGUGCUUGCACUAGAAAAACUUAGCGGCGAACGGGUGAGUAACACGUAAAGAACCUGCCUCAUAGACUGGGACAACUAUUGGAAACGAUAGCUAAUACCGGAUAACAGUAUUUCUCGCAUGAGAGAUAUUUAAAAGUUGGUUAUGCUAACACUAUGAGAUGGCUUUGCGGUGCAUUAGCUAGUUGGUGGGGUAAAGGCCCACCAAGGCGACGAUGCAUAGCCGACCUGAGAGGGUGAUCGGCCACACUGGGACUGAGACACGGCCCAGACUCCUACGGGAGGCAGCAGUAGGGAAUCUUCCGCAAUGGGCGAAAGCCUGACGGAGCAACGCCGCGUGAGUGAAGAAGGAUUUCGGUUCGUAAAGCUCUGUUGUUAGGGAAGAAUGGAUAUGUAGUAACUAUACAUGUAAGAGACGGUACCUAACCAGAAAGCCACGGCUAACUACGUGCCAGCAGUCGCGGUAAUACGUAGGUGGCAAGCGUUGUCCGGAAUUAUUGGGCGUAAAGCGCGCGCAGGUGGUUUAAUAAGUCUGAUGUGAAAGCCCACGGCUCAACCGUGGAGGGUCAUUGGAAACUGUUAAACUUGAGUGCAGGAGAGAAAAGUGGAAUUCCUAGUGUAGCGGUGAAAUGCGUAGAGAUUAGGAGGAACACCAGUGGCGAAGGCGGCUUUUUGGCCUGUAACUGACACUGAGGCGCGAAAGCGUGGGGAGCAAACAGG
rnacentral:rRNA from 1 species